AGAGGGAGGAAUAGAAAGCUAUGCCUGGAAAAGCAUGGCUUAUGUCCAGGGUGUGAAUUAAAUAGUAGUUUGGGGGACUGAGCCCCCCCAUAAGACAUGAGAGCCCUCCUGUAAAAUUUGAAAAUCAUAACCUGGGUGGUCUCCAAUCAGACUGCUCCUUCAGUUAGGUGGACCUCUUAAUUAAUGAACUAGUUUAAUUAUUUUUGCAGACCUCUCACCCCCAAGAGUCAAAGUAUAAUUCAAACCCUGCUUAUGUCCAGUCUGAAGGAGAGUUCAAACUUGUUUGGGGUCACCUACUGAAGAAGGCGAAUAAGAACAUCCAGCAAAAGAGAGCUUAAUAGACCUGGAUACCAAACCUGAAGAGAUGUGGCGUGAGAGGUAAGGAACCUGUUUGUAUAAAAGAGCCUUUCUUCCCGGAACAGUUUUCCAGUUAACAGGAAAAGAGUUUUAUCUCUGCUAUGUAUAAGAGUUCUGGUGUCUCCUAAAUACAGUGGACUUCUACAAGACUUCUGGUUUGAUAACCAAUUUUUAUCUCAGUCAGUAAAUAUCAUAGUGGAUGUGGACAAUGCAAACAAUGCUUCUUGUCCUACGAGAGAGAGCCACCUAAACUUGAUCUAAAAGAUAAAGGAGAACAGGUGUAAGAAGAAAAGAGUAAUGUGAAUGUGGCCACCUCUUGUGAAUGAAGAUUUAAAGCUGCUGGAAUGUAGAGCAGCAGUUCCCAAACUGUGGAUCAAGACUCCAAAUGGGGUCAAAAUAUCAGUGGUUGGAGUUAUGAGAUUUCUGCACCCACAGCAGAGCACACAGCUGCAAUAGGGCUGGACCAGCUCCAGGCAGGAGCCGCCUCUGCAGCCCAGUGGGUUGGACCCAGUGCAGGAGAGAGCUGCAUUGUCAUGUCUGCCAAGGUGAGGUGUGGCAGUAUGGAGUUGUGCCCCCACUGGUGCCAGGUGGGCAAGGAGUGCCUCAGCUUGGUGGCAAUGGUGGCGUGGCACUUAAUCCUGCAUCAGUUCUUGCCUGAUGGGCAGUGGAGCCCCCUGGAGGAGGGCAGCAGGGCAGGGAGCCCCAAGCCCUCAGCAGGCAGCCUGCAUUAC